UAGAGUUUGAUCCUGGCUCAGAUUGAACGCUGGCGGCAGGCCUAACACAUGCAAGUCGAACGGUAGCACAGAGAGCUUGCUCUCGGGUGACGAGUGGCGGACGGGUGAGUAAUGUCUGGGAAACUGCCUGAUGGAGGGGGAUAACUACUGGAAACGGUAGCUAAUACCGCAUAACGUCGCAAGACCAAAGAGGGGGACCUUCGGGCCUCUUGCCAUCAGAUGUGCCCAGAUGGGAUUAGCUAGUAGGUGGGGUAACGGCUCACCUAGGCGACGAUCCCUAGCUGGUCUGAGAGGAUGACCAGCCACACUGGAACUGAGACACGGUCCAGACUCCUACGGGAGGCAGCAGUGGGGAAUAUUGCACAAUGGGCGCAAGCCUGAUGCAGCCAUGCCGCGUGUAUGAAGAAGGCCUUCGGGUUGUAAAGUACUUUCAGCGGGGAGGAAGGUGUUGUGGUUAAUAACCACAGCAAUUGACGUUACCCGCAGAAGAAGCACCGGCUAACUCCGUGCCAGCAGCCGCGGUAAUACGGAGGGUGCAAGCGUUAAUCGGAAUUACUGGGCGUAAAGCGCACGCAGGCGGUCUGUCAAGUCGGAUGUGAAAUCCCCGGGCUCAACCUGGGAACUGCAUUCGAAACUGGCAGGCUAGAGUCUUGUAGAGGGGGGGUAGAAUUCCAGGUGUAGCGGUGAAAUGCGUAGAGAUCUGGAGGAAUACCGGUGGCGAAGGCGGCCCCCUGGACAAAGACUGACGCUCAGGUGCGAAAGCGUGGGGAGCAAACAGGAUUAGAUACCCUGGUAGUCCACGCCGUAAACGAUGUCGACUUGGAGGUUGUGCCCUUGAGGCGUGGCUUCCGGAGCUAACGCGUUAAGUCGACCGCCUGGGGAGUACGGCCGCAAGGUUAAAACUCAAAUGAAUUGACGGGGGCCCGCACAAGCGGUGGAGCAUGUGGUUUAAUUCGAUGCAACGCGAAGAACCUUACCUACUCUUGACAUCCAGAGAACUUUCCAGAGAUGGAUUGGUGCCUUCGGGAACUCUGAGACAGGUGCUGCAUGGCUGUCGUCAGCUCGUGUUGUGAAAUGUUGGGUUAAGUCCCGCAACGAGCGCAACCCUUAUCCUUUGUUGCCAGCGGUCCGGCCGGGAACUCAAAGGAGACUGCCAGUGAUAAACUGGAGGAAGGUGGGGAUGACGUCAAGUCAUCAUGGCCCUUACGAGUAGGGCUACACACGUGCUACAAUGGCGCAUACAAAGAGAAGCAAACUCGCGAGAGCAAGCGGACCUCAUAAAGUGCGUCGUAGUCCGGAUUGGAGUCUGCAACUCGACUCCAUGAAGUCGGAAUCGCUAGUAAUCGUAGAUCAGAAUGCUACGGUGAAUACGUUCCCGGGCCUUGUACACACCGCCCGUCACGCCAUGGGAGUGGGUUGCAAAAGAAGUAGGUAGCUUAACCUUCGGGAGGGCGCUUACCACUUUGUGAUUCAUGACUGGGGUGAAGUCGUAACAAGGUAACCUCAGUCAGUCA
rnacentral:rRNA from 1 species